GCAGCAGCCGACAGCUUCACAGGUUAGAAGCUGCCCACUGUAGCCCCUCCAUGACAGUGUCUGGUGCACAGUGAGGGGGAUUUAAGCUGUGUGCAGCAACCACAGGAAUGUAACCAAACGCCCAGCAAAACCUGUAGUGAGAACAAAGUGGCCAACAUCAACCUUCACUUCAGAUUGAGGCACCACAGGGGCAGACAGGUAGAUAAUCAAAUAUGAGGAGCCCACACAAUUAUGGAUCUCUACAUGCAAAUGUAAAAUAAAUUAAGACAAAGAUGGU